GACGAACGCUGGCGGCGUGCUUAACACAUGCAAGUCGAACGGAAAGGCCCUGCUUUUGUGGGGUGCUCGAGUGGCGAACGGGUGAGUAACACGUGAGUAACCUGCCCUUGACUUUGGGAUAACUUCAGGAAACUGGGGCUAAUACCGGAUAUGAGCUCCUGCUGCAUGGUGGUGGUUGGAAAGUUUCGGCGGUUGGGGAUGGACUCGCGGCUUAUCAGCUUGUUGGUGGGGUAGUGGCUUACCAAGGCUUUGACGGGUAGCCGGCCUGAGAGGGUGACCGGCCACAUGGGGACUGAGAUACGGCCCAGACUCCUACGGGAGGCAGCAGUGGGGAAUAUUGCACAAUGGGCGGAAGCCUGAUGCAGCAACGCCGCGUGCGGGAUGACGGCCUUCGGGUGGUAAACCGCUGUCGCCUGUGACGAAGCGUGAGUGACGGUAAUGGGUAAAGAAGCACCGGCUAACUACGUG
rnacentral:rRNA from 1 species